AUUGAACGCUGGCGGCAGGCCUAACACAUGCAAGUCGAGCGGUAGCACAGAGAGCUUGCUCUCGGGUGACGAGCGGCGGACGGGUGAGUAAUGUCUGGGAAACUGCCUGAUGGAGGGGGAUAACUACUGGAAACGGUAGCUAAUACCGCAUAACGUCGCAAGACCAAAGUGGGGGACCUUCGGGCCUCAUGCCAUCAGAUGUGCCCAGAUGGGAUUAGCUGGUAGGUGGGGUAACGGCUCACCUAGGCGACGAUCCCUAGCUGGUCUGAGAGGAUGACCAGCCCCACUGAGCUGAGACACGGACCAGACUCCUACGGGAGGCAGCAGUGGGGAAUAUUGCACAAUGGGCGCAAGCCUGAUGCAGCCAUGCCGCGUGUGUGAAGAAGGCCUUCGUGUUGUAAAGCACUUUCAGCGGGGAGGAAGGCGGUGAGGUUAAUAACCUCAUCGAUUGACGUUACCCGCAGAAGAAGCACCGGCUAACUCCGUGCCAGCCGCCGCAGUAA
rnacentral:rRNA from 1 species